rnacentral:rRNA from 1 species
UACGGAGGGUGCAAGCGUUAUCCGGAUUUACUGGGUUUAAAGGGUGUGUAGGUGGCGCCGUAAGUCGGGUGUGAAAUUUCGGAGCUUAACUCCGAAACUGCAUUCGAUACUGCGGUGCUUGAGGACUGGAGAGGAGACUGGAAUUUACGGUGUAGCGGUGAAAUGCGUAGAUAUCAUAAGGAAGACCAGUGGCGAAGGCGGGUCUCUGGACAGUUCCUGACGCUGAGGCACGAAGGUCAGGGGAGCAAACGGG